rnacentral:rRNA from 1 species
UUGACCUCAAAUCAGGUAGGACUACCCGCUGAACUUAAGCAUAUCAAUAAGCGGAGGAAAAGAAACUAACAAGGAUUCCCCUAGUAACUGCGAGUGAAGCGGGAAAAGCUCAAAUUUGAAAUCUGGCAGCUCUCGAACUGUCCGAAUUGUAAUCUAGAGAAGUGUUACCUGUGCUGGACCAUGUACAAGUCUUCUGGAAUGGAGCAUCACAGAGGGUGAGAAUCCCGUCUUUGACAUGGACUGCCUGCACGUUGUGGUGCGCUCUCGAAGAGUCGAGUUGUUUGGGAAUGCAGCUCAAAAUGGGUGGUAAAUGCCAUCUAAAGCUAAAUAUUGGCGAGAGACCGAUAGCGAACAAGUACCGUGAGGGAAAGAUGAAAAGAACUUUGGAAAGAGAGUUAAACAGUACGUGAAAUUGCUGAAAGGGAAACGCUUGAAGUCAGUCACGUCGGCUAGAAAUCAGCCUUGCUUUUGCUUGGUGUACUUUCUGGCUGAUGGGUCAGCAUCAAUUUCGACCAUUGGAUAAAGUUGAUGGGAAUGUGGCAUCUUCGGAUGUGUUAUAGCCCAUUGUCGCAUACGGUGGUUGGGAUUGAGGAACUCAGCACGCCACAAAGGCUGGGUCCCUUUGGACCACGUUCGUGCUUAGGAUGCUGGCAUAAUGGCUUUAAUCGACCCGUC